rnacentral:rRNA from 1 species
UACGAAGGGGGCUAGCGUUGCUCGGAAUCACUGGGCGUAAAGCGCACGUAGGCGGACUCUUAAGUCAGGGGUGAAAUCCUGGAGCUCAACUCCAGAACUGCCUUUGAUACUGAAGAUCUUGAGUUCGGGAGAGGUGAGUGGAACUGCGAGUGUAGAGGUGAAAUUCGUAGAUAUUCGCAAGAACACCAGUGGCGAAGGCGGCUCACUGGACUGGUAUUGACGCUGAGGUGCGAAAGCGUGGGGAGCAAACAGG